GACGAACGCUGGCGGCGUGCUUAACACAUGCAAGUCGAGCGGUAAGGCCCUUCGGGGUACACGAGCGGCGAACGGGUGAGUAACACGUGGGUGAUCUGCCUUGCACUCUGGGAUAAGCCUGGGAAACUGGGUCUAAUACCGGAUAUGACCACGGAUUGCAUGAUCGGUGGUGGAAAGAUUUAUCGGUGCGAGAUGGGCCCGCGGCCUAUCAGCUUGUUGGUGGGGUAAUGGCCUACCAAGGCGACGACGGGUAGCCGACCUGAGAGGGUGACCGGCCACACUGGGACUGAGACACGGCCCAGACUCCUACGGGAGGCAGCAGUGGGGAAUAUUGCACAAUGGGCGGAAGCCUGAUGCAGCGACGCCGCGUGAGGGAUGACGGCCUUCGGGUUGUAAACCUCUUUCGACAGGGACGAAGCGUGAGUGACGGUACCUGUAGAAGAAGCACCGGCCAACUACGUG
rnacentral:rRNA from 1 species